AACGCUUGGUCUUCAGGAAAAUAAACAGUGAGUCAGUGCAAGGCAAGUUACAGGAAGGCAGGCGCACACCAGCACCUGCACAUGGGAGUAGAAGGAUGAGUAGCCUCAAGAGGUGAUCUGAAGCACAUCACUGCAGCACUCAGACCCUUGUGCUGGUGUGCAGAUGAGAAGGUGAAGCUGUGUGCAACAGCAGGGAACACAGCUUCCCAUCUCCAAACGUUGAUGUCUGCCACGAUACCUUCUGUCCACUGUGUUCAGGAACAUCUAGCAUUUCUUUUGUAAAGUUGCAAAGGAGAGUUUUCCUUGUAAAGUCCUUCUGAGAGCAAAAGUGACCAUCGAACAGCAACUGUGCACCAAAGUCAAACAAGGACUGGACACCCUUGAUGAAGACAAAGAGUUGUCUGAAAAGCACUGAGCAUAUCUUCUUUCACAGCACACAACCAGUGGAUGUCUAGUUGGUGAUCUGACGACAACAAUGCAUCAUGGGGUGGACCUACUCUGUUGCCUCGAUCUCAAGAGACAUGCUCCCGGUGAUCAGAAUCGGCAGAAGCCUGUCAAGACGGGCCCCACAGAGACUGCAGCUGUGUCCAAUCACUUCAAGUGAAGGUGAGUCUCGAAAUGUGCCGAUUGCAUGGCAAGCACAGUUCGUCCCGUGGAAAAGCAACCGAUAUCUAUAAUGCUUCUCCCCGUUGCCUAGUGCAGCAUUAUGGCAAUAGUGGCUCGAAAGUUUCGAGCUGAUGCGGCACCGCUGAUCUGGCAAGCUCGUUGUUGUGACCCAUUGUGCAAGGCGAGUGCAACAGGCGGUAGGAUAUGUGGCAGCCAGUACCUCCAGCUUGUAAGGAACAUUUGCCUCUCUCUG
rnacentral:lncRNA from 1 species